GGUGGGGGUGAGGGGGCCUCUCUAGCUUGCGGCCUGUGUCUAUGGUCGGGCCCUCUGCGUCCAGCUGCUCCGGACCGAGCUCAGGUGUAUGGGGCCGUAGGAACCGGCUCCGGGGCCCCGAUAACGGGCCGCCCCCGCAGCACCCCGGCCUGGCGUGAGGGUCUCCCUUGAUCUGAGAAUGGCUACCUCUCGAUAUGAGCCAGUGGCUGAAAUUGGUGUCGGUGCCUAUGGGACAGUGUACAAGGCCCGUGAUCCCCACAGUGGCCACUUUGUGGCCCUCAAGAGUGUGAGAGUCCCCAAUGGAGGAGGAGCUGGAGGAGGCCUUCCCAUCAGCACAGUUCGUGAGGUGGCUUUACUGAGGCGACUGGAGGCUUUUGAGCAUCCCAAUGUUGUCCGGCUGAUGGACGUCUGUGCCACAUCCCGAACUGACCGGGAGAUCAAGAGAUGUUUCGUCGAAAGCCUCUCUUCUGUGGAAACUCUGAAGCCGACCAGUUGGGCAAAAUCUUUGACCUGAUUGGGCUGCCUCCAGAGGAUGACUGGCCUCGAGAUGUAUCCCUGCCCCGUGGAGCCUUUCCCCCCAGAGGGCCCCGCCCAGUGCAGUCGGUGGUACCUGAGAUGGAGGAGUCGGGAGCGCAG
rnacentral:sRNA from 1 species